AUAAACACUGUCCUUUCCAGUAUCAAAAGUCAGCCUUGCCUUCUGAAGAGAGCCAUCUCUGGAGAUGCUAACCCAGCUUGGACCUGACAUCUAAUGUUCUACCACACCCCAAUAGCAUCAUACUAGACACCAAGCUUUACUUAGCAUAUGGACCAUUGGGGGCCGUUUGACAUCCCCAGUGCAGCACUGAAACACAAUAGAGAAGUGGAGAAAGGAUCAAACUUGGAAAAUGAACUGAAGGAGGAAAAAAAAGAUAAGAAAAACUAUAAUGGACCACUCACAAGUGAGUCUUCACUGAGGUUGUCUGAUGUUCAAACACCAGCGUGUUUAACGCUUGCCUCCCUACAUAGGUGCUGAUGAAGGUGCACUCACUGUCUUUCGAUUGUUAUUAUUGCUGGACUUUCAACGUAAGUUUUCAAGAGCUUCUGUGAUGGUGGAUGUUCAUGGCUCUUUUGAUUUUACUUGGUGUGAUCUAGGAGAUACAGCCUGGAUGCUUCGAUGAGAAUGUUUCCAGAAAGAACUGAGAGAAGAAGGGAAGAUCCGCCAUGUGUGUGAGGGGUAACAUAUCACACACUGGGGUCACAGACAGAGAGAAACAGUGAUAAGUCUACUUGAGCAAUGGCAUUCCCUUCUUCUGCAGGCAUUGGCACAAAUGGCCUUCUGCCCCCAGGAACAGGAGCUGGCCCCAUCACCAAGUCUCUUCUGCCAUUCUGGAUUUAAUCCCUUGAUACCCUGAGAGGCCAAAUAGACCUCUCUUCCCAUAAGUUGCUUCUCCUCAGGUGUUUUGUCAGAGCCAGGAGAAGGGUAGCUAACUAUAAACACUCAUGCUCACAGCACUCCCUUGAGUCUCAAUUUUUGCAGCCACCUCAAAUGCAUUUCUUUUUUCCUCACAAUUGGAGAUGGUGCUAUGGUCCUCUGAUCUGUUCUUGUCCCACAGGCCUCUGUGCAGUCUAAUGCUCUGUAGUCAGUGGCUCUGUUUUAUCUUUCAACUUGUGUUUUGUGAGUAAAGACUGAUCAGACAAAGAGCCCAGGGACAGAGGAGGCUUGGCAUGUCAUAGGGCUGUGGCUGCUGGCAGGUGCACACACAGGGGCAGUACACACUAGGCACUCAGCCUGGUGGGCAAAUUCAUGCUAUAGGGAAGUCUGUGGGGUAAAGUGAAACACAAGGAAAGGAAGUCCUUUAGGACAGGCAAAAAUAUUUUGAGACGGAUUAUAACAGCACAGAAAAUGGCUCAGAACAUGGGCAAAUGGUCUUACAUGAAAUUCAAAGCUUUCUGUACCACAAAAAAAACUAUUAAUAGAAUGGACAGAUAGCCUAAUAAAUAGGGGGAAAUCUUUGCCAGGUAUACCUCAGAUAGGAAGUUAAUAUCUAGAAUAUAGAUAGGGUUUCAAACUUAAAUACCAAGAUGUAAAUCCAAAUGGCCAACUAAUAAAUGGGCCAAUGGAAUGAACAGACAGUUCUUUAAAAAAAAAGAGAGAGAGAAAGAAAGGAAGGAUGAAAGAAUGAAAUACAAAUGCUCAAAAAAAUUUUUUAAAUGCUCACCAUUCCUGAACUUUACAGAAAGGCAAAUUAAAACUACUUUAAGAUUUUUUACCUCUCCCUGGUCAGAAAGGCCAUCAUUGAGAAGACAAAUAGCAAAUGAGGUUGUAGGGGAAAGAAAAACCCAGUUUCCUCUUGGUAGAACUAUCAUCUGGGACAGCCACUAUGGAAAUCAGUGUAGAGACCUUGCAAAAACCAAUUAAAAAUAGGACUACCAUAAGACACAGCUAUGCCACUCCUGGGCAUGUACCCAAAGGACUCUGUAUCUUACCACAGAGACACUACACAGUCAUGUUCAUUGUUUCUCUUUUCAAGGCAAAAGCAGAAUUAGCUGAGAAGCCCAGCAUCAGCAGAAUGGAGACUGAAAGCAUGGAAUUUAUAGGAAAAUAUACAGAAGUUAAAAAAAAUGAUAUUAAAGGAGCCAGCCAUGCUUGGAAAGGCAAAUGCCACGUGUUCUUUGUCAUACAUGGGUCCUGUCUUCUGUGUAUACUUAUAUUGGUAUACUUAGGUUGGAGUAAAUGUGGGUACCAGCCAGGAGACUCAAAAGGUGGCCAUGAGAGGGGAGAAAAUAAGGAUUUAAUUAAGGAGACAGAACAAUAAGAGUUACAAGAUGCUAAAUUCAAAGUGGACGGGAUAAGGGUACAGUGUGUGUGUGUGUUAGGAAUUGGGGAGGAGUGAGUUUGUGUGUAGGAAUCAACCUGGGGCCUAUGUGAAAUGCCAUAUGAAAGUCUGCUACAUUGUAAGCUAAUUUAAAUAAAUAAAUAUAUAUAUAUAUUUAAUUUUUUGC
rnacentral:lncRNA from 1 species